UAGCUCUCCCAGCCCCACCCCCCACCCCUGGAGUAAGCUGCUCCCAGGGCAGGAAAGUUACUUGUGUCUCUCCUUCUUUCAUGGCGCAUAAGCAGACAUUCUCUCCUGCACGUGCUCCUGAAAUUUAUGUGUCGCCACAAACACUAUGUUAGAUGUCGGGGAAAUAAAGGCUCUCUUCAAAAAUGGCCCCUCAGCUCCACGCCCUUCCCAGCAGCCCCUCACUGAGGAUGGCAGGGGCCGGGCUCAGACCUCAGCACUGCGCAGGGGAUGAUGUGCAAAAAUGCCUAUCAGAAUUUUGAGGAAAUUGAAAACAAGCCAAAUGCCCAUCAACAAGAGAAGGGAUAGAUAGGCACAGUACUCAACAGCUAAAAUAAAGAAUGAAGAAAUGCUGCACUCCGUGAUAUGAAUCACCUCACAGAAUAAUAUUAUACAAAAGAAGUUAGACACAGAAGAGUACAUUCUGUAUAAUUUCGUCAAUGUGAAGUUCGAGAAUAAGCAAAAUAAAUGUGGUGCUAGAAGUA